GAUGAACGCUGGCGGCGUGCUUAACACAUGUAAGUCGAACGGUGAAGGCGGAGCUUGCUCUGCUGGAUCAGUGGCGAACGGGUGAGUAACACGUGAGCAAUCUGCCCCUGACUCUGGGAUAAGCGCUGGAAACGGCGUCUAAUACUGGAUACGAGCUGCGAAGGCAUCUUCAGCAGCUGGAAAGAACUUCGGUCAGGGAUGAGCUCGCGGCCUAUCAGCUUGUUGGUGAGGUAACGGCUCACCAAGGCGUCGACGGGUAGCCGGCCUGAGAGGGUGACCGGCCACACUGGGACUGAGACACGGCCCAGACUCCUACGGGAGGCAGCAGUGGGGAAUAUUGCACAAUGGGCGAAAGCCUGAUGCAGCAACGCCGCGUGAGGGACGACGGCCUUCGGGUUGUAAACCUCUUUUAGCAGGGAAGAAGCGAAAGUGACGGUACCUGCAGAAAAAGCGCCGGCUAACUACGUG
rnacentral:rRNA from 1 species